GACGAACCGUGCAAACGUUGUUCGGAAUCACUGGGCUUAAAGGGCGCGUAGGCGGGUGGUCAAGUCAGGGGUGAAAUCCUCCAGCUCAACUGGAGAACAGCUUUUGAUACUGGCCAUCUUGAGGGGGGUAGGGGCAUGUGGAACUUCCGGUGGAGCGGUGAAAUGCGUAGAUAUCGGAAGGAACGCCGGUGGCGAAAGCGACGUGCUGGACCCUUUCUGACGCUGAGGCGCGAAAGCCAGGGGAGCAAACGGG
rnacentral:rRNA from 1 species